UACAGAGGGUGCGAGCGUUGUUCGGAAUUAUUGGGCGUAAAGGGCGCGUAGGCGGUGCGGUAAGUCACCUGUGAAAUCUCCUGGCUCAACCGGGAGCUUGCAGGCGAAGCUGCCGUGCUGGAGUAUGGGAGAGGUGCGUGGAAUUCCUGGUGUAGCGGUGAAAUGCGUAGAUAUCAGGAGGAACACCUGUGGCGAAAGCGGCGCACUGGACCAUAACUGACGCUGAGGCGCGAAAGCUAGGGGAGCAAACAGG
rnacentral:rRNA from 1 species